GAUUUCUGGUUUGGUGCGCCUGGCCCGCCGCAUUAGCGCGUGAGUGCCGGGUCGCGCCUGCCAUCCUUCUAGAAAACGUAUCUACCCUUCACUGGGCCGGAUACGCGAUCUAGAUCUUUUACUUUGAAAAAAUUAGAGUGUUUAAAGCAGGCAUUUGCUAUGAAUACAUUAGCAUGGAAUAAUAAUUUAGGACUUCGGUUCUAUUUUGUUGGUUUCUAGGACUGAAGUAAUGAUUGAUAGGGAUAGUUGGGGGUGCUAGUAUUCAGUGGCCAGAGGUGAAAUUCUCGGAUUCACUGAAGACUAACUUAUGCGAAAGCAUU
rnacentral:rRNA from 1 species